UACGUAGGGUGCAAGCGUUGUCCGGAAUUAUUGGGCGUAAAGAGCUCGUAGGCGGUCUGUCGCGUCUGCUGUGAAAACUCAGGGCUUAACCCUGAGCUUGCAGUGGGUACGGCAGACUAGAGUGCGGUAGGGGAGACUGGAAUUCCUGGUGUAGCGGUGAAAUGCGCAGAUAUCAGGAGGAACACCGGUGGCGAAGGCGGGUCUCUGGGCCGAUACUGACGCUGAGGAGCGAAAGCGUGGGG
rnacentral:rRNA from 1 species